rnacentral:rRNA from 1 species
UACGAAGGGGGCUAGCGUUGUUCGGAAUUACUGGGCGUAAAGCGCACGUAGGCGGACAUUUAAGUCAGGGGUGAAAUCCCAGAGCUCAACUCUGGAACUGCCUUUGAUACUGGGUGUCUUGAGUAUGGAAGAGGUGAGUGGAAUUCCGAGUGUAGAGGUGAAAUUCGUAGAUAUUCGGAGGAACACCAGUGGCGAAGGCGGCUCCCUGGUCCAUUACUGACGCUGAGGUGCGAAAGCGUGGGGAGCAAACAGG